AUUGAACGCUGGCGGCAUGCUUUACACAUGCAAGUCGAACGGUAACAGGCCGCAAGGUGCUGACGAGUGGCGAACGGGUGAGUAAUGCAUCGGAACGUGCCCAGUCGUGGGGGAUAACGCAGCGAAAGCUGCGCUAAUACCGCAUACGAUCUAUGGAUGAAAGCGGGGGACCGUAAGGCCUCGCGCGAUUGGAGCGGCCGAUGUCAGAUUAGGUAGUUGGUGGGGUAAAGGCUCACCAAGCCAACGAUCUGUAGCUGGUCUGAGAGGACGACCAGCCACACUGGGACUGGAACACGGCCCAGACUCCUACGGGAGGCAGCAGUGGGGAAUUUUGGACAAUGGGCGCAAGCCUGAUCCAGCAAUGCCGCGUGCAGGAAGAAGGCCUUCGGGUUGUAAACUGCUUUUGUACGGAACGAAAAGGCUCUGGUUAAUACCUGGGGCUCAUGACGGUACCGUAAGAAUAAGCACCGGCUAACUACGUGCCAGCCGCCGCGGUAAUAC
rnacentral:rRNA from 1 species